UGCUGGCUAAGGACCAAGGAGCAUCAGAAAGCUUUCUUCUCUCUGCUUUCUACAGCACUUGAAAUCAGAGCAAGAAGCUGAGACACAACCGAGCAUGGGAACGGUCAGACUUCAGUGCCUUCAAAAAAAAGGGAGACGAGAGGAAGAGAAGUUCCAAAACCUCUUUUCAGUUGUGACAAUGAAGAUAAGCAUUUCUAGGUAUACGUCUGCAAAAUGAAGCUGAAGUAUAGCUUCAAGA